rnacentral:tRNA from 1 species
GGGGGAUUAGCUCAGCUGGGAGAGCGCUUGCAUGGCAUGCAAGAGGUCAGCGGUUCAAUCCCGCUAUCCUCCAC